GUUAAAUUAAGACUAGCUGGUUCAUGUCCAUUCAGUAUACUUUGUAUUUUUUCUA
rnacentral:tRNA from 1 species